UACGUAGGGGGCGAGCGUUGUCCGUAUUUACUGGGCGUAAAGCGCGUGUAGGCGGCUUCUUAAGUCGGGUGUGAAAGCCCGGGGCUCAACCCCGGGAUGCCGCCCGAGACUGGGAGGCUUGAGGUCGGAAGAGGGGAGUGGAAUUCCAGGUGUAGCGGUGAAAUGCGUAGAGAUCUGGAGGAACACCCGUGGCGAAGGCGGCUCCCUGGUCCGGUUCUGACGCUGAGACGCGAAAGCGCGGGGAGCGAACGGG
rnacentral:rRNA from 1 species